GACGUAGGGGGCAAGCGUUGUCCGGAUUUAUUGGGCGUAAAGAGCGUGUAGGCGGCUUGGUAGGUCCGCUGUGAAAACUCGAGGCUCAACCUCGAGAUGUCGGCGGAAACCACUUGGCUAGAGUCCGGAAGAGGAGAGUGGAAUUCCUGGUGUAGCGGUGAAAUGCGCAGAUAUCAGGAAGAACACCUAUGGCGAAGGCAGCUCUCUGGGACGGUACUGACGCUGAGGAGCGAAAGCGUGGGGAGCGAACAGG
rnacentral:rRNA from 1 species